rnacentral:pre_miRNA from 1 species
CAAUCAUCAAUUUGUAUGGAACGGGAUCGUUUGCGUACGUUUGCCGCUAGGGGCGCUGUUCCAACUGCAUACAAAAUUGAGUUA